rnacentral:rRNA from 1 species
GGACCCGCACAAGUAGUGGAGCAUGUGGUUUAAUUCGAAGAUACGCGCAGAACCUUACCAGGGCUUAAAUGCAGUUUGACAGGUCCGAAAGGGAUUUUUCUUCGGACAGAUUGCAAGGUGCUGCAUGGUUGUCGUCAGCUCGUGCCGUGAGGUGUUAGGUUAAGUCCUGCAACGAGCGCAACCCCUAUUCUUAGUUGCCAGCGGUUCGGCCGGGGACUCUAAGAAGACUGCCAGCGCAAGCUGUGAGGAAGGUGGGGAUGACGUCAAAUCAUCACGGCCCUUACGUCCUGGGCUACACACGUGCUACAAUGGUGUUGACAGAGGGCAGCCACAUGGCGACAUGGAGCUAA